rnacentral:rRNA from 1 species
GUCCAGACUCCUACGGGAGGCAGCAGUGGGGAAUAUUGCACAAUGGGGGGAACCCUGAUGCAGCGACGCCGCGUGGGUGAAGGAGCGCCUCGGUGCGUAAAGCCCUAUCGGCAGGGAAGAAACAGACGGUACCUGACUAAGAAGCCCCGGCUAACUACGUGCCAGCAGCCGCGGUAAUACGUAGGGGGCAAGCGUUAUCCGGAUUCACUGGGUGUAAAGGGAGCGUAGACGGCGACGCAAGUCUGGAGUGAAAGCCCGGGGCCCAACCCCGGGACUGCUCUGGAAACUGCGGCGCUGGAGUACGGGAGGGGCAGGCGGAAUUCCUGGUGUAGCGGUGAAAUGCGUAGAUAUCAGGAGGAACACCGGCGGCGAAGGCGGCCUGCUGGACCGUGACUGACGUUGAGGCUCGAGAGCGUGGGGAGCAAACAGGAUUAGAUACCCCAGUA